CGAGGGGAGCUGAUGGGACACAAGGGAACAGAACCAGGACAACUGAUCUAAACUAGACAAAGGGAUAUACUGUACCAUAUGACAUCCUGAGAAAACUAUAAAGCUGGGAGAGCUGGCUCGGGUGACAAUUGCUCCUUGUGGACUGGCUGGGUGUCGGUGGAUGGGUGAAUCACAGAAUCAUUUAAUCCUACUCCCCUUCUAAAACAGGUUCCCUACAACAGGUUGCACAGCCUCAGGAUGUCUUGAAGAAAAUAUCUAUCUCAACGGGCACAUUCCUGGGUGGCAAAGAUAAUUAACAACUGAAUACAUAAAUCAACUAAUAAACACACUACUGUAAGG
rnacentral:lncRNA from 1 species